UCCGGCUUGUCACCGGCAGUUUCUUCAGAGUGCCCGGCAUCACCCGAUGGCAACUGAAGAUGGGGGUUGCGCUCGUUGCGGGACUUAACCCAACAUCUCACGACACGAGCUGACGACAGCCAUGCAGCACCUGUGCUCCGGCCAGCCGAACUGAAGAACCGCGUCUCCACGGUCCACACCGGACAUGUCAAGGCCAGGUAAGGUUCUUCGCGUUGCAUCGAAUUAAACCACAUACUCCACCGCUUGUGCGGGCCCCCGUCAAUUCCUUUGAGUUUCAGUCUUGCGACCGUACUCCCCAGGCGGCGAACUUAACGCGUUAGCUUCGAUACUGCGUGCCAAAUUGCACCCAACAUCCAGUUCGCAUCGUUUAGGGCGUGGACUAC
rnacentral:misc_RNA from 1 species